AGCGAACGCUGGCGGCAGGCCUAACACAUGCAAGUCGAACGAAGUCUUCGGACUUAGUGGCGGACGGGUGAGUAACACGUGGGAACGUGCCUUUAGGUUCGGAAUAACUCAGGGAAACUUGUGCUAAUACCGAAUGUGCCCUUCGGGGGAAAGAUUUAUCGCCUUUAGAGCGGCCCGCGUCUGAUUAGCUAGUUGGUGAGGUAAAGGCUCACCAAGGCGACGAUCGGUAGCUGGUCUGAGAGGAUGAUCAGCCACAUUGGGACUGAGACACGGCCCAAACUCCUACGGGAGGCAGCAGUGGGGAAUCUUGCGCAAUGGGCGAAAGCCUGACGCAGCCAUGCCGCGUGAAUGAUAAAGGUCUUAGGAUUGUAAAAUUCUUUCACCGGGGACGAUAAUGACGGUACCCGGAGAAGAAGCCCCGGCUAACUUCGUGCCAGCAGCCGCCGUAAUAC
rnacentral:rRNA from 1 species